UAAAUGCACUAGGGGUGUAUAGCACUGAGAUGAGGCUUAACCUCAAACCCUUUGAACCUGAUCUAGUUAAAAACUAGCGUAGGAAAGUGUUAACUUAAAUAA
rnacentral:ncRNA from 2 species